rnacentral:lncRNA from 1 species
UUGCAUAUACUAUCGAUUUCUCCAGUCCCUGGGAUUUGAAUUUUUUUUAGGAAAACAUGACUUCCACAAGGGAUGCUAUGUACAAUGAAAAGAAGCCUCUCCUUUUCUUUGGAGCAACUGCCCGAGUGAAAAGCAAACAGCCCGCCACGUUGCUUACCCUCUCCACACUGCGUCUUCUCAGAGAUCCAUACGGAAUUUUCAGUAGGAGUCUCUGGGAUCUAUUUGGAGCCACUGCAGCUUGAACCACCAUGGUGUAGAGCCGUGGGUGAGUGUGUCUGCGUGAGUGUGAGUGUGUGUGUGUGUGUGUGUGUAUCUGUUCCCAGCAAAGAGAGAGAUGGAGGAGUCCUCAAAGCUAAGUUAUGGUCUCCUGGAGGUUUCCCAAAUAUCAAAUAACUGAAAGAGGUUUUUUUUUUUUUUCUUUCGACCGUAUGAGUCAAGAUGUGGUGUGUCUGGAGGUGGGGGAUGGGGAAGAAAAAAAAAAGAGCCCAAGUUCUGCAACUUCAGCGCACCGCCCGCCCGCAGCUCAGCCCCACUCCCUCCUGCCGGCCCCUGCCUGUCAGUCCCUCGGUGAGACUGCACGUCCCAGGAGUGGGCCAGUGAGUGACGCUUCUUGGGGGAGUGAUCCUGAAAUGUCAACUUUGCUUCCCGCGGCUCCAGACGGUAACCAGGUCAGUUGUCUAAUGGAAACCCUAUCAGACGUAUUAUUCACUCUGUCACGUGACUCCAAAGCCCCUCGGCCGUACAGUAGGUCACAUGCUCACCUUAAAAAGACUAUUUGGAAUAUCACCAUCUGGUGCAGAGAUUAA